CAAUGAAAAAAGUAUGAUAAUGUGCACAUAAAUUGAAUUGGGUCUCUUGGCCAGCUCAUUCUGAUGCCAUUUGGCAUUGAUUUGAGGGUAUGAUUCAGCAGCAAAACG